rnacentral:rRNA from 1 species
UACGUAGGGUGCGAGCGUUGUCCGGAAUUAUUGGGCGUAAAGAGCUUGUAGGCGGUCUGUCGCGUCUGCUGUGAAAAUCCGAGGCUCAACCCCGGACUUGCAGUGGGUACGGGCAGACUAGAGUGUGGUAGGGGAGACUGGAAUUCCUGGUGUAGCGGUGAAAUGCGCAGAUAUCGGGAGGAACACCUAUGGCGAAGGCAGCUCGCUGGGACGUUACUGACGCUGAGACGCGAAAGCGUGGGGAGCAAACAGG